UACGUAGGGGGCAAGCGUUGUUCGGAAUUACUGGGCGUAAAGGGCUCGUAGGCGGCCAACUAAGUCAGACGUGAAAUCCCCUCGGCUUAACCGGGGAACUGCGUCUGAUACUGGAUGGCUUGAGUUUGGGAGAGGGAUGCGGAAUUCCAGGUGUAGCGGUGAAAUGCGUAGAUAUCUGGAGGAACACCGGUGGCGAAGGCGGCAUCCUGGACCAACACUGACGCUGAGUGAGCGAAAGCCAGGGGAGCGAACGGG
rnacentral:rRNA from 1 species